rnacentral:rRNA from 1 species
GACGAACGCUGGCGGCAGGCCUAACACAUGCAAGUCGAGCGGAGCGGCGGACGGGUGAGUAAUGCCUAGGAAUCUGCCUGGUAGUGGGGGAUAACGUCCGGAAACGGGCGCUAAUACCGCAUACUAUCAGAUGAGCCUAGGUCGGAUUAGCUAGUUGGUGGGGUAAAGGCCUACCACGGCGACGAUCCGGAACUGGUCUGAGAGGAGUAUCAGUCACACUGGAACUGGUACACGGUCCCGACUCCUACGUGAGGCAGCAGUGGGGAAUCUUGGACAAUGGGCGAAAUCCUGAUCCAGCCAUUCCGCGUGUGUGAAGAAGGUCUUCGGAUUGUAAAGCACUUUAAGUUGGGAGGCGUUACCAACAGAAUAAGCACCGGCUAACUUCGUGCCAGCAGCCGCGGUAAUUC